rnacentral:rRNA from 1 species
CCUAGACUAGCCAUGCAUGCCUCGAUAGAAGAGCAAUAUCUCUCCGAAUCUGCGUACGGCUCCGCACACCAGUUGUAACACAAUGGCAAGCCGGUUUUCGAGAUCGCCGCAAGGUGUUUCUUGGGGACCACAAGGCUAUCCCUGGCAAUUCUGAGGCUAAUACAAGAACAUACCACCUUUGGCUGACCGGCAACGGGACGCUGGGGUGCGUGUAAGACCUCGCUAAGUUGCUAUGAGAAGCUGCACGCUCUGACCACUGCAAAAAACGGGCUCGCUUGUGAACCUUCGGGGGAUCGGGCUUGCUUGAGUGGCUCUUGCAAUGUGCUUCUGACCUAUCAACUAGAUGGCAGCGUAAGGGACAUGCUAUGGUGACAACGGGUACAGAGGAUAAGGGUUCGAUCCUGGAGAGUGGGCCUGAGAGAUUGCUCACACUUCUAAGGAAGGCAGCAGGCGCGCAACGUUCCCAUUGGACUCCGUCCGAGGGCGUUAGGGGAAAUAUGAAUGUCUGCCUUAUGGUGGACAAUUCAAAUGGGACUGUUCUAAACAGCCCAUCGAGUAACAAUUAGAGGACAAGUCUGGUGCCAGCACCCGCGGUAAUUCCAGCUCUAAUAGCAUACGUUAAAGUUGUUGCAGUUAAAACGCUCGUAGUCGGCACGAGACCUUCAGAUGCUUCGGAUCGUGAUCCUGUUUGCUGCUUUCUCAAGCGUGCAUCGGAGGAUCGAACUGGAGUUUGACGUCGGUCGCAUGUGCCUAGGGCCACUCUCCGGAGUAAAAGGUACCUGGCUUCGGCUGGGAACCCGGUCCGCGCGCCAUUUACCAUGAUUAAACUGGGGUGAUCGAAGCAUGACGCUGACGUCGCGUACAGGAUAGCAUGGUAUAAGCUCGACUGGCUUGGAGUUGCGAACCAGGCUAGUAAUCGCGAAGAGGAUGUUCGAGGGUGACCGAAUUGCCGGGCGAGCGGUGAAAUGCGUUGACCCUGGCAAGUCGACCAAAGGCGAAAGCAGUCAUCAAGGGCAUACCUGUCGAUCAAGAGCGAAAGUCAAGGGCUCGAAGACGAUCAGAUACCGUCGUAGUCUUGACUAUAAACGAUACAGACCAGGGAUAGGACUCUGUCCAUCCCGACUUCUCCUGAAUCUUGAAGAAAUUACCAGUCUUUGGGUCCGGGGGAGUAUU